AUUUGAUGUAUUUCAUUUCAUAUUUUAUGAGUCAUUCCAGACGGUAGAAUCUUAGCUCCAAAAAGGGGAUCUUUAAAUUAAUCUGCCUUAUUCUGUAACUGAGAAAACAAGACCACAGUAUGUUGAGACUUGAAGAUUUUGAUACAAGGAAGGGUCAGGACUUUCCUCCUGCUCUGGCCUUUCCUAUUAUACCAUCAUACCCUGGUAUAAGAGUGAUUGGUGUUCCAAGGAAGCCUACUCAGUGGGAAGACAUUGAAAAUGAAGACUUUGAUGGUCCACUUCCACAUGAUGAAUAUUUCCCACAUUUGAGGAAAUCUCAGGGGUCAGCAUAUCUGGAAUACCAUGGAUGAGUCUCGCUUCGAUCAUGAUCAUGGUAUCUCCGCUGCCAGGUAACAAACAGGACCACCCAUCGCAUGGUGCUGCUCUAGACUCUUGUACAGGUCACGUCCUCCUUGGAAGUGCUCCAUCCAGCCACCUUGGGAUGAUCCACUUGCUCCUCCUAUGUGCUCCCCUCCCAUGAAAUGCAACCGGCAUGUAGCAGAACAUCGGCCCAUAGCCUUGAAGUGAUUGUUGUGUGCAUCUACCUCUCCACCAGAUCUACUUGCAGGGAUGAUGAGUUCUGGUUGUUCCUCUGCUCGAGGCAGUGGCUGCUCCGCAAGGAGCUGGCUGUGAUUGCUCAGUGCUGCAGGCAUCUUUAAUCCUGAGGCAAAGACGAGGAUGCCCAUGGUGGACAUACGCUAGAGCCACAUCCUCAAUCUAGAGUUACAGCAUAAUAAAACUGGUAUUUUGACUUA